GGCCUGCAACUUGUUCUCUGGAUGCUCUAACUGUGCUUCAUUUCUCAAAAGAGACAAGGCGUUCUGCCUCAGGUGAGAUUUCUUUCUUGAUGGAGAGCAGCAACACAUUUUCAUCAGGACAUUUUUUUAUUUCUUGUUCCAUCCUUAAAGCCUUUUGGAUGGCCACUACUGGGGACAGUGUUGCCCUCUCCUUAGGCACAGAGGAAUAAUAGGUUGUCUUCUGUGUUCUCAUUGCUGCUUCUUUUCACCCUGAGGCUGCUUGUUGACUGAAGGCAGAAGACACCCUGGCAUGUAUGUUUUGUCCAGUGCAGGUGUCCUCUGGAGUGGCCUGAAGAGAAGGCCAGUCUCAGUGGUUCUUCUGAAUCCUCUAUGACUAGAAUUAUGGACAUAGGCAUAAACAAGGUUAUGGGAGAUGACAAGUCCAAUGUGCCAAUGGUGGGUUGGUUUCCACUUCUCUGCAGUCCAGGCCUAGUGCGGAAGUAGCAUACUCAUCAAGGGUAGGGAAUGGAGCCAUAACUGGAGUAACUGUCUGAGGCUGGUUGUGAAGCCAGGCACCUGGAUAGCCUGUCCUUACAGUAAUCAGUUGAAUGCCAUGAUCUGCUUAGACUUUCUUUGAUAUAAAGAAACAUUAUGUCUUGUCUUUUGAAUGGAACAUAUUGCAUUACUUCCAAAAUUCCAGGGUGUGGCUUGAGAGGUAUCAUUUCCUCAUAGGGGUUUGGGAAAUGGCUCCCAUUCUUCUUUGAAGCAGGGGUGCAUUAUCAUGUCUAUGAUGGAUAUAUCUGGGUUUGACUGUCAUUAAGUUGCUAAGCAGGUCAUCUAGCUCUCUUGACACCCAACAGUGGUCAAGAUACACACCUGCCACAUGUCUUCUCAGCUCGUGUAUGAAAAUAGAGGCAACAUUUCCAACUACCUUAAAAUGUAAGACUCUAGCAUUCAUAUGUGGUUCUUUGAACCAUCAUAAAUUUAUCCUAGGAAGAGUUCAUGGGCAUCAAAAGUGUUAGCACCAUUGUACAGGUUCAGCAUUUGCUCUGAUUGUCUUGGGUACUAAGGUCAAAGUCAAUGAUUUUGGCUUUUUGUUUCUUAUCCAACAUAUUAGUUGUUUUCAAGUCCUGUGAUUAUUCUGUGCCCCUGACAGUAGAUCUAGGCUGUUAAUAUUUGCAUAAACAUUUGCCAGGCCUUGUCCUUCACUAUGUAGCCAUACUUUGAGAUACAUUUGUAAAGAUGUUGAACCUCACCCAGCUCCAUGACAAGGUAUCCACUUGUUUUGGUCUCAAUUACUUGUAGAUGAUGUUGGGGUAGUUAAACACAAUUGUUGUCAUUGCCAUGGUCAUUACUGGAUGGCAUAAGUGCUUCUUCCUCACAAGGACUUGGAGGCCACUGUAUCAGAACAUCCACUGUCUUAGCACCUGCUUUUACCCAACACAUCCACUGUACUGACUGUCCAAGCCUAUGUUUUGUUGCCUUUCCCCUGAACUUCCUGCCAUUGCAGAAGGAAGUAGGAUGAUAUGGUCUGGUUAACACAUUGUCUGGUUGAAGUGUCCUUAGUUUCUAGGGCUUGGAAUCCAAUGUAUUCCAUUGCUUUUUCACAUUAGCAGGGUCUGGCCUGAGGGGGAUCAGUUGCUCAUAGGGAUUUGGGAACUGCUUCUAGUCUUAGUUGAACUAGGGUUGCAUCAUGACCACAAUGACUGUUGGCCUAUAUUUAUGGUUGACUAUCGUUAGGAGGCUAAGUAGGUCUUCCAGCUCUUCUGACACCCCACCAGAGGCAGCACAUACCUCUACUACAACGUGUCUUUUCAGCUCCAAAAUUAAGAGAGAAUCAAAUGGAAACUUUCUGACUGUCAAGAAUUAUAAAAUUCCACCCAAGGUCCAUAUUUUGUUCUUUGGAACAUAAGAAAAUUUUUCAACGAAGAGUUCAGGGACACCAAAAGUAUAAGUAUCGCAGUGCUGGUUCAGCAUUUCCCCUGGGUAGAAUGAGGUACUAGGCCAAAGUUCAUAAUCUUGACUUUUCAAUUGAUAUACAAACCAGCACUCUUUGGCUUCACGUCCCUGUGAAGUAUUGUUUGCCCGUAGAAGUGGCUCAUCACAGCUAUUAUUUGCACAAUAUUUCCCUAGCCUUGACUUGCUCUAGGAAGGCAUAUUUUGGCACACAGUAAGCAAGAUGAUCUCCUGGUUUGAUUAUGCAUUGUAAUAUCUUAGACUCAGAAUCCAUUAUGGUGCAGUUCUUCCACAAAUGCAGGGUCUAGCCUGACAGAGCUCAGUCCUUCAUAGAGAUUUGGGAAAGACUUUCAGUCUUCCUUUAACCAGGGGUACAUCAUCCCAUCUGUGACUGUCAACCUAUAUUUCAUGCUGACUAUCAUUAAGAGGCUAAGUGGUCCUCUAUCUCUUCUGACACCCUGCGGGGGUUAGGAUACAUACAUGCCACAAUGGUCUUCUCAAUUAUAGUAUGAAUACAGAGUAAAAUCUGACUUUUUUAACUACCAUGAAAUGUAAAACUCAGGUCCAUUUGUCGUUCUGUGGACUAUCAUAAAGUUGCUGAGGAAGAGUUCAGGAGCUCCAAAAGAGAAAGUACCACAGUGCCACUUCAGCAUUGCCCUGGUUCAACUAGGGUUCUAAGGCAAAAGUCUAUGAUUUUGACUUCUCCAUUUAUGUCCAAUGGUAAACUUAUCAGGUUUCUGUUCCCUGUGCACUAUACCCUGGUCAUUUCAUUAGCUCACAGUUAUGAUUAUUUGCCUAAAUAUUUCCCUGCCUUUGUCCUCCCCUAGGUGGCCCCAUUUUCAGGUGCUUUGGUAAAGCUGUUGUCCUUCAACAAGUUCUUACUUGCAGAAGUGAGAUGCUGUUCAGGUGGUCGACCAUCAUUGUCUCUGCCUUGGUCAUGAGUGUCAGGCACCAUUGCUUCUUUAGAAGCGGUUCGAUGGCUCUGGGGCUGCCACUGAGUCGAAGGUGUUGCUCCUGUGUCCCAUGGUCCUUAAGACUUUGUAUUGAGAUUGGAAUUUUCCCUCAUCAGAAAUUCUGCUGAGGGCUAGGGUGUGGGGUCUGCUCUUUACUAUGUGUAAGCAUUGUAGCUAAAGAUACUACAAAUAUUACCUAGAAAUAACUUAAAAGUAUAGAAUAAAAAUAAUGGAAACGAUGUAGGGCAAAUGAAGCUAAAAUCACAGCAUGUGUUAACUAAAAAUGACCAAAAUGUCUUUGGGAUUGCAGUUUAUUCUUUUAUUUGUUUCUGUUUUACUUUUUGUUUUUGUUUGUUUCUUGGUUUUUUGGCUCUGUCAAGAGGGCAACCCUGUAGUGCAAUAGAUCACAGAUUCAGAUGAUGUCAGGUGAAAUAGUCAUUGGCCACAUAAAGGCUAAAGCCUGUGUUUGGGCAAUGGAAGGAAAGACACAGCAGAACUUUUUGGGGAAUGGAGAGAAAGAAGAAUAGAGGCGGAAGAAUCGGCCAAAAAGAAGAUGGGGGAGAAAGAGGUUGAAAAUGGAGCAGGAGCCACAAGUAGGUAGAGAUUUUAUAAAUGGGCAAUAGAGUAGUGUAGUGGUACAUUUGUCUAAUCUAAGCACUCAGCUUAUAAUUAUAUAAUUGAGUUUUCUGUUCUUGCAUGGGCCUUUUGGCGUUGGAGAUUUACCCCUAUAAAUCUGGCUAGUAUAAGCCUCUUGUGUUUUCAUUACAAAAGACUAAGACAAAUCCUGUGAGAGGAGCAUUGGCCAGCCUUCUGCAGGUCAGGGAGAUGGGGUGGAUGAGAUAAGAAACGCAAGCAGCAGUCCAGGCAUUUCAGAUUAAAGUUGUUUGGUUAGAGUAGCAAACUAGGAGCAGGAACCAGGCAAGAUGGCAGCAUAGAGCUGGCCAUGUGGGUUGAGCGUUACCACUGAUACCAGAGCAUAGCAGGAAUUUGCAUUCCUGUGUUCUCAUUGCUGUUGUGUUCUCUCUGAGGAUGAUUAUUGAGUGAAUUCAGGCGACACUGCUGGCGUGCAUGUAUGUUUGUCCAGUGUGGGUGUAAUCUGGUGUGGCCUGAAGAAACAAAGGGCAGCCCCAGUGACUCUUCUGCCUACUUUUUGACCAGAUUGUGGUCAAAGGAAGUCACUAGACCAUUGGAUGAUGAUGAGGCCUGUGCAUAUAGGGCGGGGUAGCUACCACUCCUCUACAGCCCAACAGGAAUGCAUCAUCAUCAUCAAGGGGAGGGAAUAACUGGACUCAAUGUGUGAGCCUCCAUUGUUCAGCCUUGCACCUGGAGAACUUGCCUGUACAGUAAGCCACAUGAUCCCACGGUUUGAUUAUAUGUUGUGAUAUCUUAGGCUCUGUACCCAGUAUGUUCUAUUUCUUCCACAAUUGCAGGGUCUACCUGACAGAGCUCAGUCCUUUGUAGGGAUUUGGGAAAGCCUUUCAAUCUUCCUUUAACCAGGGGUACAUCAUCACAUCUGUGACUGUCAACCUAUAUUUCAUGUUGACUAUCAUUAAGAGGCCAAGAGGUCCUACAUUUAUCUUUUCUGACACCCCACAGAGGUUAGGAUACAUACUUGCCACAACCGGUCUUCAAAACUGUAGUAUGAAGACAGAGUAAAAUCUGACUUUUUAAUCUACCAUUAAAUGUAAAACUAUGGUCCAUAUGUCAUUCUGUGGACUAUCAUAAAUUUUUCUGAGGAAGAGUUCAGGAGCUCCAAAAGAGAAAGCACCACAGUGCCAGUUCAGCAUUGCCCUGGUUCCACUUGAGUUCUAAGGCAAAAGUCGAUGAUUUUGACUUUUCCAUUUAUGUCCAACAUAAUCUUAUCUGGUUUCAGUUCACUGUGUACUAUACCGUGCUCAUGGCAUUAGCUCACAGUUGCUAUUAUUUGCCUAAAUAUUUCCUGCCCUUGUCCUCCUCUAGGUGGCCCCAUUUUCAGGUGUUUUGGUAAAGCUGUUGUCCUUCAACAAGCUCUUACUUGGGGAAGUGAGAUGCUGUUCAGGUUGUUGACCAUCAUCAUUGUUUCUGCCUUGGCCAUGUGUGGCCUACACCAAUGCUUCUUUACAAGCAGUUUGAUGGCCAUGGGACUGCUAGGGAGGUGAUGAUGUGAUAUCGGGACCUUGGCAUUGCUCCUUAAGUCCUUAAGACUUUGUACUGAGUGUGGAAGUUUCCCUCUGCUGGGGCCUAGGGUGUGGGAAAUCCUCCUUACUAUGUGUAAGCAUUGUAGCUAAAAAUACUACAAAUAAUACCUAGAAAUAACUUUAAAAGUGUAGAAUAAAAAUAAUGAAAAAGAUGUUUGGAAACUGAAGCUAUUGUCACUUCAUGUGUUAACUAAAAUGAGCAAAAUGUCUUGUGGAUUACUGUUUGAAUUUUUUCCUCUCAAGAGGGUGGCCCUGUAGUGCAAUAGAUCACAUAUUCAGAUGAUGUCAAGUGAAAUAGUAAUUAGCCAUAUAAAGGCUACAGCCUGUCAUUGGGCAAUGGAAGGAAAAGAUAGAGCAGAAUGUUUUGGCAAAGGGAGAGAAAGAAUAGAGACGGAUGAUGCGGGCAAGAAGAAGAAGAUGGGGGAGAAGAGGUGGGAAAUGGAGCAGGCCCAUGGGCUUGCAGGAGCCACAAGUAGCUAGAGAUUUCAUAAAUGGGCAAUAGAGUAGUGUAGUGGUAGAUUUGUCUAAUCUAAGCACUCAGCUUGUACUUAUAUUAUUGAGUUUUCUGUUCUUUGACUGGGACUUUUGGAGUUUGAGAUUUACCACUAUAAAUCUGGCUAGUAUAAGCUUCUGGGUUUUCAUUUCAAAAGACUAAGGCAACUCCUGUGAAAGGAGCAUUAUCCAACUUUCUGCAGGUCAGCCAGAGGUGGUGGAUGGGAUGAGAAAUGCAAGCAGUAGUCCAGGCAUUUCAGAUUAAAGUUGUUUGUUUAGAGUAGCAAACUACCAGCAGGAACCAGGACAAGAUGGCUGCAUAGAGCUAGCCAUGUGGGUUCAGCAUAACCACUGAUACCAGAACAUAGCAGGAAUUUGCAUGGGUUUAAUUUAAAACUUCAUGCAAUAGAUGAUGUUGCGUGUGGUAGUCAACAAUCCACUAGGGAGUUAGGAUUCUUGUCCUAGGGAUGAGAGAAUUAGAUUCCUGAAUGAGCAGAGAUGAGUCAAGUGACUCCAGCACAUGGGAAUCUUAAUCAAACACAGUGAUAGACAGACCCAAAUCAGGCUCUGAGUUCUCCUCCUGUAAAAAGAAUCAGUAUAAUAAAUGGAUCCAGGCAGAGAGGGAGACUGAAGACUGCCUACUUUUAAUAAAGUUUGGUUUAGUUGUUGCUAAUUUGGUGUAAUUUUGUUUAAAGAUAGAAGAGGACACACUUUUGGCCAGAGUCACCUGGGGAAUUGCUCUUGAGGUUCAGAGCUAACUCAGGGCAAAUGGGCCCAGAUUAUCUGGGAGCUCCUGCUGUGCAGGGAAAAACUGAGCUAACAGAAAAACUACAGCCUCCAAGGCAGACAACAGAAUUUGGAUAAGGAUGAAAUCCUCUAGGAAAGUCUCAGUGUAUCACAGGAUUCUCCUAUUCUCUCAAAAGAGGGUUAAAUAUCCUGUCUUGGCAGAUUAGAAAAGGCCCGAAAAAACUGUUUCUACUCUGCUUGUUUGGUUUAGUUCCCUCGUAUGAGUAUUUAAUUUUCGAAAUGUAUGUGAUUUUGAAUUUUCUGGUUAUUUUACUAUUCCUCUGGGAAAGAUGUCAACCUAAAAAUCUUUCUGGUUACUGGCUAAAGCGCAUGCUAAUUUGGGAGAAAGACCUUAUGUUUCUGCUUAUAGGAAAAGUAAUUAGGCACUGGACUCCUUCCAGGGUUCUCUGGGUCAGAAAGGGCAGAGUGAGCCCCCCUGAAGAACUAGAAAAUUCAAGAGAACCAAGCAAGAAAGGUAAAGAUUCCUUAUGCCAUUGUUCACAAUGCAUGAACGAAGACUUAUGAUUAGUUAUUAUUAAAUUUGGCUCAUAAAAAGACUAUCUUUUCACAUGCUUAAACAAAGAGCAGUAUUUCAUCUUGAGUAGUCAAGGUAUUUUAUGUUAAACUGGUUCCCAAUUGGCUUAGCAAUCGAGCCUCAGGAUGCAGGGUAACAAGUGCAUAGAAGUAGCCAUAGGGACUGGGUGAAACUCUGAUGCCUGUGUUUAGCCAGACUUAGUGUGGGGUUAUUUUAAAAUUACAUGUAACAAAAAGUCCUUGAAAUAAACUAAAGUCAAAGUUAGGAAAAUAGAAUACAAAUUAUGGAAAAGAUAUCAGGGAAAAAGCUAAAGUCAAAAAUCCCAACUAAAAUCCAAACAAAUAACCCACCUUGUAUUCUGUUCAGAAAAGUCACGAAGCUCUCUAGAAGGAGACAAGACAGGAUGCAGCUGUUGGGCUAUCUCAGGCAAACUCUGCACCGGAGCACCUGUUCAAAGAGAUUAGAAUAUCAUUAUUGUAUCAUGGAUGUUUACUGGGAGAAUGGAAUGAUUUAACAGCUGAGUUGUGGAAUUCUAUUGAUCUAUAAAAUAACCUAUGCAGUGGAUAAUAUAAAGUUAUGAAAUAUCUUCCAGCUUCAUUAAUCAGAACUAUAAAAUUUCAAUCUAGCCCAUGGAUGCUGAUGGUAACUGUCGCUUCUGUUUCCGACCCGCAGAAAAGAGCGCCUACACAGCGUUCUUCUCAAAGCGGUUUAUUCAGGAACCUUACAACAUGCAAACAGGAAUCUUCUUUUCUUCUGUCUCCCUCCCAGCCCAGCCCCCGGAGCACACUCCCUUAUACCCUCCCUCAACUCCGCCUCCUCAGUCCAGACUGCAUAAUCUCAGUUCAUAGGUCCACGUCACAUGGCCUGAUCUUGCAUCAUGGUGCACCUGCACAGCUCUCACAAUGGACGUGGCUAGUUUCAGGUGUGUGAGGAAGUCAGAUGCUAGUCACGAGACUUAGCUGCAGUCCCAGGCGCCAUCUUGGGACUACCGCCACACCCGCUCCCCACAGAAUUGGAAAGCUCACCUUUGAUCCUGAUUUGAGGCUGGGAGACACAAAUUUCUGAACUGAAUCUUGGCAUGGAGAUCAUGAGGCAAAGUAGCUAUGAAUCUCAGGAGUUUAAGACAAGGAGAUCUCUGAGUUCAAGGUCACCUAGGACAAAGCAAGUCCCAGUUCCAGCUGUGGUGGUACACACCUUUAAUCUGGGACAUACCUUCUGCUGGAGAUUUAUAUAAGGACAUUGGAAGAAGGAAAAGUCUCUCUUUCGUCUGCCUGCCUGAUUUGUAGGACUGAGCCACUGCUAGAUCCUUGGACUCCUAUUCAUACCUGCUGCUGAUCAUUGUUGGGGAGUUGGACUAUAGACUGCAAGUCAUCAACCAAUUGUCUUACUGUACAGAGAUUUCCCAUAAGAUCUGUGUCUCUAAAGAACCCUGUAUGAGACAAUUCUCUUUUAUAAUAUAUAAUUUCUAUUGAUAGAUAAUGUAAUUUAUUAUUUUAUUCAUAGUAUUAUUAUAUUCAUCUCUAUGUUUAUAUGUAAACAAAACACAGGUUGUAUGCCUAUGAAACAGUAACACACUGCAUACUUGAUGACUGCUGUCUUUUCCCUACUCCCUACUGCAGGGGAGAAAAUGGACCAUUCUCAUCAAUGAAAAAGGUAAAAUAAAAUGUUAACUAUUGGCUGAAACAC